rnacentral:rRNA from 1 species
CAGGGUUUAUUAAUUAAUAAUUAAAAAUUUAAUAAUCUCGAAUUUAAAAGAGUUAAUUAUUUAUAUAUUUUAUUGUUAAAUAAAUAUUUUAAAUAAAUAAUUAGAAAUGAAAUGUUAAUCGUUUUUAAAUAUAUCUAGUUUCUUAAGAAAAAAAUUUAAUUUUAUUAUUAAUAAUAAAAAUUUUAUUUUAUAAAUUUUUAUUUUUAAUAUUAAAUAUUUUUAGGGAUGAGCUUAAAAAUAAAGUUUUAUAAAUUUAUUAUAAUUUUAAAUUUGUAAGAUUAAUAAUUUUUAUCAUUAAAAAAUUGUUUUAAUUGAUUUAAGUUAAAUAAUUAUUUAUAUUAAAUUUUAAUUAUUAUAUUAAGAUGAAAAUUUUAAUUGUAAAAAUUUUGUAAUAAUGAUAAAAUUAGUAAAUUAAAUUAUUUUAAUAAAAAUUAAAAAUUAAGAUAUUAAUAAGGAAUUCGGCAAAUAUUUUUUUCACCUGUUUAAUAAAAACAUGGCCUAUUGAGUAUAAUUUUAGGUCUAGCCUGCCCACUGAAAUUUUGAAUGGCCGCGGUAUUUUGACCGUGCAAAGGUAGCAUAAUCAUUAGUUUUUUAAUUGAAAGCUGGAAUGAAAGGUUGAAUGAAAAAAAAACUGUCUCUUUAAUAUUAAUUGAAUUUUAUAUUUAAGUUAAAAAGCUUAAAUAAAAUUAAAAGACGAGAAGACCCUAUAGAGUUUAAUUAAUUAAAUUAAUAUUUAUUUUAGAAUUAAUAAAUUUAUUAAUAAAAUUAAUUUAAUUGGGGUGAUUGAAAAAUUUAAUUAACUUUUUUUGUUUAAAUACAUAAAUUUAUGAAUUAAUGAUCCAAAAUUUUUGAUUAUAAGAUUAAAUUACCUUAGGGAUAACAGCGUAAUUUUUUUUAAGAGUUCUUAUUGAAAAAAAAGUUUGCGACCUCGAUGUUGGAUUAAAGGCAAAUUUUGGUGCAGAAGCUAAAAAUUUUAAGUCUGUUCGACUUUUAAUACUUUACAUGAUCUGAGUUUAAACCGGUGUGAGCCAGGUUGGUUUCUAUCUUUAAUAAAAAAUAAUAUUUUAGUACGAAAGGACCAAAUAUUAAAUUAAUAAUUUAAUUAUAAGAAAGUCAUUAAAAU